rnacentral:rRNA from 1 species
GACGAACGCUGGCGGCGUGCUUAACACAUGCAAGUCGAACGGUGAAAGGGAGCUUGCUCCCUGGAUCAGUGGCGAACGGGUGAGUAACACGUGGGCAACCUGCCCCAGACUUCGGGAUAACGCUUCGAAAGAGGUGCUAAUACCGGAUACGAACUCCUUGGGCAUCCUUGGGGUUGGAAAGUUUUUCGGUCUGGGAUGGGCCCGCGGCCUAUCAGCUUGUUGGUGAGGUAACGGCUCACCAAGGCGACGACGGGUAGCCGGCCUGAGAGGGCGACCGGCCACACUGGGACUGAGACACGGCCCAGACUCCUACGGGAGGCAGCAGUGGGGAAUAUUGCGCAAUGGGCGAAAGCCUGACGCAGCAACGCCGCGUGAGGGAUGACGGCCUUCGAGUUGUAAACCUCUUUCAGCAGCGAAGAAGCGAAAGUGACGGUACCUGCAGAAGAAGCACCGGCUAACUACGUGCCAGCAGCCGCGGUAA